rnacentral:rRNA from 1 species
CGGGUGAGUAACGCGUGGGUAACCUGCCUCAUACAGGGGGAUAACAGUUAGAAAUGACUGCUAAUACCGCAUAAGCGCACAGUGCUGCAUGGCACAGUGUGAAAAACUCCGGUGGUAUGAGAUGGACCCGCGUCUGAUUAGCUAGUUGGUGGGGUAACGGCCUACCAAGGCGACGAUCAGUAGCCGGCCUGAGAGGGUGAACGGCCACAUUGGGACUGAGACACGGCCCAAACUCCUACGGGAGGCAGCAUG